rnacentral:rRNA from 1 species
GACGUACGCUGGCGGCGUGCCUAACACAUGCAAGUCGAACGGAAAGGCCCUGCUUUUGCGGGGUGCUCGUGUGCCGCACGGGUGAGUAUCACGUGUGUAACCUUCCCUUGUCCUUCGGCUAACUUCACGAAACUGGGGCUAAUACCGGAUAGGAGCUCUUGCUCCACGGUUGGCGUUGGAAAGUUUCGGCGGUUGGGGCUGGACUCGCAGCUUAUCAGCCUGAUGGGGGGGUAGUGGCUUACCAUGGCUUUGACGGGUAGCCGGCCUGAGAGGGUGACCGGCCACAUUGGGACUGAGGGACGGCCCAGACUCCUACGGGAGGCAGCAGUGGGGAACAUGGCGGAGUGGGCGGGAGCCUGAUGCAGCGACGCCGCGUGCGGGAAGACGGCCUUCGGGUUGUAAACCGCUUUCGCCGGUGACGAAGCGGGAGUGACGGUAAUGGGUAAGGAAGCACCGGCUAACUACGUG